UACAGAGGUCCCAAGCGUUGUUCGGAUUCAUUGGGCGUAAAGGGUGUGUAGGUGGCGCCGUAAGUCGGGUGUGAAAUCUCGGGGCUUAACUCCGAAACUGCAUUCGAUACUGCGGUGCUUGAGGACUGGAGAGGAGACUGGAAUUCAUGGUGUAGCAGUGAAAUGCGUAGAGAUCAUGAGGAAGACCAGUGGCGAAGGCGGGUCUCUGGAAAAUACCUGACACUGAGGCACGAAAGCUAGGGGAGCAAACAGG
rnacentral:rRNA from 1 species